rnacentral:rRNA from 1 species
UACGUAGGGUGCAAGCGUUGUCCGGAAUUAUUGGGCGUAAAGAGCUCGUAGGCGGUUUGUCGCGUCUGCUGUGAAAACUCGGGGCUUAACCCCGGGCCUGCAGUGGGUGACGGGCAGACUAGAGUGCGGUAGGGGAGACUGGAAUUCCUGGUGUAGCGGUGAAAUGCGCAGAUAUCAGGAGGAACACCGGUGGCGAAGGCGGGUCUCUGGGCAGUAACUGACGCUGAGGAGCGAAAGCGUGGGGAGCGAACAGG